rnacentral:lncRNA from 1 species
GGAAAUGCAGGCAACAAGGAGAAGGCUUCUGCGAUGAUCCAUGACACUCUGAUAUUGCCAUUCUGUGCAAAGUUGCUCACAUUUUGACAUUCAUGAUCAUUUUUAAUUCCCCAAAACAAGCAACUGAACUUUCAACUUCCUUUUAUUACCAUAAAAUAGAUGCAAUAGAUACCCUCACCCCAUUCCUCACCCACCCCCCAAUUAGCUUUACCUGGUGCCUAAUCCACAGCCCAUCCCAGACUCACCCUAUCCCUCCUUAGACUUCUCUGUAUCUUUUACCCGAUCCUUCCAGGUGUCCAAACAGUGUCAUCCGGUGUCCUGACAUGCGGCCCCAAUGGACUGAUCCAGGGUGGAAAGGAAGAGUGAGAAGAAAUCAGACAGAAGAAUUCAGGAGAUGUGGCAACAGAGUGGAUGUAGCAGAAGGGACAUAGAGAGUGCCUAAAGAUGAGUCUUUGGUCAGCAUGUGAUGAAAAGAAUGAAGACACUGGGGAAGUGGGGAGCAGAAGCGGAUGUGGGCCCAGGAGGAAGAAGAUUCCAGAGAGCAGAGAUGGCAAAAAGAUGCAUGGAAGAGAGACACAGCAGGGUCGGGUUCUGGCCUCAGGAGCCAAGGGGGAAGUGCCUGAGGAGACCCCCAAAUGAGGCCUGUGUCAAUGAGGUCUUUAGGGGACUG